UACAUAUUGAAGGAUGUAUCAAAUUACAAGAUUAAAUUACAAAUUGCUGGAUUUUCAGUACAUUUCAUUUAACAGUAAUGUUAAAAUAUUAAGAUCAUUUUUACGCAUACAUGUAUUUGUGGAACGUAAAAUAUAUUCAUAACCAUGGAUGUUACAAAGUUGAAGAAAACUAAAUACAUAGAAAACAUUGAAGAGACUGUUUCUGAAAUGAAAGACCGUAAACAAUGUAAUUUGGAAGAACCGAUUGACAUUGAAUUCUAUGAAACAAUUACACCGAACAAUGAAAUAUAUGAAAACUUACGCAUUGCUCAACCAGUUUUGGACAAAACUAAUUCAGGACCGGGAGAAAAUUAUGAGUCACUUCAAAUAGGACCAAAGCAGGAACACAAGGUCAAGGCUGCACAAUAUGUCUGCAUGACUGAAUCAGAUACAAAGCAGAAAGCUGUGCUUCUUAUACUUUCGAUGACGGGUGUUAUCUUAAGCAGUGUUUCUUUAGUGAUCUCCUCUACUGCACAAGAGAGAGCCGAGGCAGUGGAUGGGACCUGGAGUGGCUGGUCAUUAUGGGAAGCCUGCUCAACUACAUGUGAUGUAGGAAUACAAAGACUCCAUCGCAACUGUUCUAAUCCUGUCCCAUUAGGAAAUGGACGUCAGUGCCUUGGCCUAGACAAUGAACAUAGAUUAUGCAUGUCUGGAUCGUGCACAAACGGAGGAUGGUCAGCUUGGGGUAGUUGGGGAAGUUGCAGUGCCUCAUGCAACGUUGGUCGUAAAACAAGAUUCAGAACUUGUACUAAUCCUAGGCCUUCUCUGUUCGGAGAUUUUUGCGAAGGGGAAAACACGCAAGUGGAGAUUUGUGGCAGGAACCCAUGCAAUGACGGAGGUUGGUCAGCUUGGGGAAGUUGGGGAAGUUGCAGUGCCUCAUGCAACUGUUGGUCUUAAAUCAAGAUUCAGAACUUGUACUAAUCCUAGGCCUUCUCUAUUUGGAGAUUUUUGCGAAGGGGAAAACACGCAAGUGGAGAUUUGUGGAAGGAACCCAUGCAAAGAAACUCGCGUUGCAUUUAAUGUAUAUCAGUCCUCUGCCAAAGGAACUACCGGAAGCCACACUGUAAUAUUUACUAGUAUAUUACUCAAUGAAGGGGAAGCUUACAAUCAAACAGAUGGAAUUUUUACUGCUCCAUUUAGUGGACUUUAUCAGUUCAACGGGCAAAUUUGUACAGUGGUAGGAGAGGAUGCAGACUACACCCUAACAAUUGAAGGAAAGUCUUUUGCAAGCGGAGAAUACAGAACACCAUCAGAAGCUUCUGAUGGUAAAUGUACAUCAUUCAGCGCCGUUGUGUCCGUGCUAAAAGACCAGAGAGUCUGGAUAACAAGUCAGCAUUUGUUUGCAAACGGCAACGAUUGGAAUUCCUUCUCGGGCAUCCUAAUUCACAAAACGUAAAAGAGAACUUUUUUUCAGGAAAGCCAGAGCUGAGCCAAAGAUAUCCAAAGAACAUCAUGUUUGACAGUAUUGGUUUACAGGGAAUGGACAAUUAACGGAGUACCGUUUAAACAAUCAAUGCAGUAAUUAGGAUAAUAGCUAAAACUUCUGUAUGAUAAUUUUUGCAAAUUGAUUCGAAUGAUGCACACAAUGUUUCGUUUUUUCAUCGUCCGUAAACGCCACAUUUUACCACGACGCAGACGGUGUCAUAAAAACUGAUUAUAUUUCCUAGCCAACUAUUCGGUAAAAAUACUUUUUUUCUUUAACUGUAACACUUAAGUUAAAGUUUAUAAUUACAUUUCAUAACAUUAAUUAUUUGGUGUCUCCUUGGCCGAGUAUUUAAUGUCGCUGAGUUAGAGUCACUUGCGCCUCACCGUUUUGGGUUCGAAAACUCGCUUAAUGUGUAGAAUUCUUUGUUGGAGGGAAACUAUCUGUCUGGCUAGCGGAAGAUCCGUGAUUCUACUAAGGUGCCUGCUGUUGCCUACAGUUAUGUCCGAAUGGCCGCUUGGCGUCUUCAGCGGUCAUCAAAAGCUGGAAAUUCGCAAUAUUGCCUAAAAGUGUGUCGUUGUGACCUUAAACCAAAUAAAAAACAAACAGACUAAUCUUCAGCGUUUGACUCAUAAUAACAAUAUUACAAUACCAUAUAUAUUAUACAUGUUGGCGGCAAGUAUGAUAGGGAAACAGAAUGGUUCUAAAUCGUCUUUAAGACAAAAUACCCUUUAUACUUUUAGUAGAUGGUCCAUUAACUGUGGGUAUAUAUGACUGCAUCAGUCCAUUGAUAAUUGCAAGUAUAUAGGACUAUCGUUUUUAUGCCAAAAUCAGUUUGAUUCUGUAUAUACAAUGACCAGGUAACGCAUAAUCCUGGAAAAGCUUGAAACAUGCUCAAUACAUAUUGGGCACGCAAGCUGUUAGUUCAGUUUUUGUGCGAAGUCAAAUAUUUAGACUUAAUAAAAAGUGUGCUUUUUCUGCAAUAAAUUUGAAAGAGAAAAGCAAAACAUGGUUUGAACAAAUAUAAAAUCUCUACGGAUUGUGAUAUUCAUGUGUCGUACACAAGUGGGAGAAUUAUACCCAUCGAGUUUUCUAUAUUCAAAAUGUUUCGUAUUUACUACAAUUUUUAAAGGAAGAAUUUUUUGAUUUUUGAAGCGUUUUAUGAAUGCGUAUAGGAUUUUGUUUCGUUAUCGACAAGACUCGAACAUUAUCGUAUAUUUCCAUCAAUUCUUAACGAACUUGCGUUCUCUUAACGGCGAACUCUGAUUUCUUCUCACCCGCUUAACUCUAAAACUUUUCGGGUUUUUAUAUAGAAAUUAAUACAGGCUCCAUAAUCUGAUUUUGAUUAUUGACAAUAGUCGAUUUUAAACUACUUAAAGAUAGGGAUAAAAAUUGAGUUGCAUACAAUUUGGAGCUACCCGAAGUUCAUUACACAAAUUUUCCAUAUUAUAUUAUAGCCAGCACUGAACUUUUAGCCUGACUGUACAUUGAAAUCCACAAAACCGAAUCCGAGCUUGAAAUUAAUUUUGACAUAUUUGAAGAUUGAAAUUCAAACUUACACCGAAAUUUACUAUUUAGGCGGCAUUAUUUUGGACUCGUCAGAAGAUCGAAAUUCAAAUUAAUAGAGCACCAAAUUGUGAAAAUGAUCUACAUAUUUUUAUACUUCCAGCUAGCAUGAAUUUCUUUUCGGUGUCAGCUAGAUGACCAACAUUUUGAAAAUCCGAAAUUCAAAUGCCAAAUAAAAAUUCAGCUUGUUGAUGUGAAUAUCGCACCGGCACAAUUAUAGGUCAUAUGUGCCCCUCAGUGCAUUAUUUCAUCACGGACGGGUACCUGGGUAAAAACCACAGACCUUCCGUAAGCAAGCUGGAUGGCUGCUUCGCAUGAAAGUUCAAAGCCCCUAGCAUGGAGAGGACUUCAAUAAGCCUACUGGCUUCCAGUCCAAUCCAGAAUUUAUGUAUGUAAAUAAUAAUUUGAAAUGUACAUAUUGGGAAAUAAAAUAUAUUUAAACCAAAGCCCCUAGUGAGGUUUGAACCCAGAUCGGUGAGGGACAAGUAAAGUCGGCGACCAUAACCACGCUGCCAAGGAAGCCCCUCUUGCAAAUUUAAGAUAUAAUGUUCGAGUUUGCCUGAAAUUCUAGGGCAGAUUAUAUUUUUGUUUAGAUUUUCAAGCUGGCUUUAAACUUACUACUAGCUCGAUAUUCAAAUUUUGAAAUUUAAACUGGAAUUUCUAUAUUUGUGCUAGCUAGAAAUGCUGUUCUAGAUUUUAAAAUCUUUCAUUAGCUGCGAAAUUAAAUUCAAUGCAACAUCUUUGAAUUAGAUUGUUUUGAAGGUUCGAGCAGACUCAAAAUAUACCAGAAGCAAUUCAUUAAUCUUCUUGGAAAAGUUCGCGAUAUUCGAUAUUGUGCAACAUGCAGUACAGUGCUAGAUUUUUAACUCCUAAAUAUGGUCUUGAAGAGGCCCGAAUUUCAAUACUACAUCGAAAUUCACCCUUCCUGAAUUUGAAGUUCAAUUUUCGAGCUGGCUAGACAUUCUAUACUAGUUCAAUAUUUGACGUUCAAUCUCCGAAGAGGCUGUUAACUUAAUAUCACGUCGAAAUUUAGCUUUUGAAAAAUAUGAAUUUGCGACCUUUGAGUUGGCUCAAAAUUAAAUGCUUUUAUUUAAAAUUAGACUUCUUGAAAAACAAUAAUUUCGAUCAAUGUAAGUUUGAUUAUCAAACAAACUGUUAUAAUAUCGAGCUCCUGAUCUUUUGAUAAUAGAAAUCAUUCCAGUCAUAGUAAUGUGCUUGUUGAGAAUAUCGUGAUAAACGUAUUUUGAUUAGUCCAUCAAUUCACUGUAAGGUUACGACUGGUUGACAAACUUAUUUUUGUUCAUCGAUCACCGUUCUCACUUAUCCCUAUAAGUAUUAUGCAAAUUGAGCCAUUCAAAUUUGUUCAUUGCUUGCAUGUUUUUUUCUGUUGCUUUUUUUUUUUUGUUUGUUGUUGUUGUUUCCUGGCAAAUCGAUAGCUAAAUUGUUAUCGGCUUUGUGGUGACAUUUAUGGUGGGUCUUAUUUUCCAAUAUGUUUAUAUCUAUCUUUCUGAAAAAGUUAGAAAUAUAGAUUUUACUUCUAUGUAUAAAUUUAUACUUUUUAUUCAUUAUUCUAGAAGUUAGAUUUCUAAUUUGAUCGAUAGGACAAAUUUAAAACUUCAAUUUUCAAAUUAGUUUCUAGUUUUUGUAAACAUUCUUGUUCGUACGAUCAGCUGUGAACUUGUUUUCUUUUAAAAGCACACUUUCAUAAAACUCGUUUUGCAGAUCCCUAGCAACUAACUGAAUGGUAUAUAUGACUAUUUCAUGGACUGGGUGUCACUGUGUAAUAGUUUGUUUAUAUAAUAUUAACAAUAUUGAUAACAGUUCUGAAAAUACACUAGUGAGAGUGAUGCCCCUAUAAUUAUUCACAUCAUUUAGAUCAUCCCUUUUUGGCACAAUGACACCCUUGCAUACAGAUUCGGAAUACGCACCUGUAUCAAAAAUAUGAUUAAACAGUUUACAUAACACUAGUGCUAAAAUGGUUUUGCAUUCAAUAAAUAUUUCAGGAAUAAGUUAAUCUAUUCCAGCACUUUUACCACUUUUAAGGUAAGAAAUAGCAAUAAUACAAAAAUUUAUGACAAGUCAUUUGUCAUUUGGACAAUCCAUUGAAUCAUCUGUGUGACUGUGAACAUCCUACAAGAAAAUAUAAUGUUAAUAUUUAGCGCAAUACGGUUUAUGGCCUGCGUAUACUUUAUAAUAGAUAAUAUCAAAUAAUUGACUAUAUCGUUCAUGCUUGUUUUUUUUUUUUUUUUUUUUUUUUUUUUUUUUUUUUUUCAUUUAAGCUUUCUUUGUCUUUCAUAAUGUUUCUAUUUUUUAAUUAGAAAUUAAUAUCAUCAAUUUGCCAUUGUUAGCUCGAGCUAUUGUUCUCGCCAUAGUAUCGGCGUCACACCUUGGUCAAAAUUUUGCAUGCAAGUACGUAUAGCUAUUACGUAUAUUAUCGGCGUAUUUUGGUUCAGUGAUUUUUCCUGGUGUUAUGGCCCUUUAUUAGUCAAACGUUAUGAUAUUUUGGCAUCUUCUCUUGCACUAUUGGGCAAAUUUCCACCAAACCUUACAGGAGUUGUCAAUAUCAAACAUUAAGUUAUACUUGUCACUGGCAUGUGUGGUUCAGUGAGUAUUAGCAGAGUUAUGGCAUUUGAUUUGUCAUAUUUUACACUACUUUCUUUGAACAAUUUCACCUCACCUCACUAGUGAUUAGUGUGAAGCGUACUUGUGCAUAGUUACGUCAUGUUUUGACUGAGUUAUUUUCAGCGGAGUCAUGACAUUCAAUUGAUCAAAUUCUUUGAUCUGUACUUCUUCUCCUAUACCACUGCUUGGAAAAUAAAUAAAUAUAAGUAUUCAUGUGGGUCCAAAGGUAUGCUUUUUUGGUAAUUUUAAAAUAAGAGUGAGAAUAAAUAUUUCCGAAUAAAAUAACAAAUAUGAAACAAAAAGAUCUUGUGCUUAAAACAAAACCAGUUAUCGCAAUGACAUGUAUUACACAUUGAUGGAUUAAGCAGUUACUAAAACACUGAAAUACAACGAUGUUGAUAAGUCGAUAUAACGAAACCACAAUGUUAAAAAAUCUAAAUUGCGACGAUGAAAGUACGAAAUGGGUUCGACUUUUUAUUCUCAUAGUUUCGUUAUUUCAACUUUUCAACAUCGUUGUAUUGUACUUUUGCUGUUUCGAACUCACAAUAUCGGGCAAUAUCCGGUUUCUAACACGGCACCGUAUUUCUUUUAUACAUGUGUAUUUCAAGUAUAUGUUGUAAAACUCGUGUAACUGGUACUUGAUGGUAUGUCGAUUCUUAUUAAUAUAAUUUAUUUAUAUUUCAAGUUUAAAACUCCUGUAACUAAUACUUCAUAGUAGAAGAAGAAUGUCUGCAUAAAAUGUAUAAACCAUGGCAUCACAAUACAUUAUCCAUGAAAACAGAAACAAACAUGUGAUAAUGAUAUAUGUCAGCUACAUUAUAUAGAGAGGAAUGGAAUCUCUUAUCUCCAUUGUGUUCCUUUAAAUACAAAAUAGUUUGACAUAGGAAGACAAUUUUAAAUAAUACCACAGCAAUUGGAAAAAGUAUGGUGAACUAUUAAAUAAUAGACAUGGACUUUUUCAUGUAUCACAGAUUUUAGACAUCACUACAAUAUUAAAAUGAUAAAUUUAUCUAUAAUUUAAAACCAUUAUUAGAAAAUGAAACCUACUCCUUUAAAUAGGACUUAAAAUUAUCUAAAAAUACCACAGCAAUUUGAAAAAAGUAUGGUGCACUAUUAAAUACUACUCAUGGACAUAUCAUGUAUCAAAGAAUUUAGAUAAUCACUAAAAUAUUAAAAUGAUAAAUCUAUCUUUAAAUAAAAACAUGACUUGAAAAUGAACAAAAAUAAGAGAAGGAAAGUAUGUUGAUUCUAAUGAAACUAACUUGUUUCAAUGAUACUUCGUAUCAUAUUGAUACUAGAUAAUAGUUUUUACAUUAUGCUAAUGCUAAUAUUAUAAAGUAAUGUGACUUGAAAUUUUUAUUACGUUGAAUAUAUAUGAUUUGAACUUAUUAUACGGAUUUAUAUGCUAGUAUGACUUGUACAUACUGAAUUAAAUGCUUACGUGACUUGCACAAUGAUGAUGUUUAUCUAUUUUGUGAUGUUUCUAAUACAAAUAAAUAUUUUAACUAAAAUAUACGCCGUUUAAUUGUUCUUAUAAGCUAUCUGAGGUAAAAUGCUUGAGGAAGGAGGACAUAUCCAAUUUGAUGGCUGUAGAUAUACAAGAGUUGUCAUCAUUAUAUCGUUUCCAUUCAAAUUUUGGCCAGGGCGGUAUCUCACUGCUCCAUUUUGAAUCGUGGUGAGAGUUGUAUAUCAAGAUCAAUUAGAAUCCUGAUGAGUGCAGUAAGUGAAAGAUCAAUUAGGAUCCGGAUAAGAGAGAAUUGCGAAAGAUCAAUUAGACUCCUGAUGAGAGCUAAAUGUGAAAGGUCAAUUAGAAUAUCCUAAUUAGAGCGGAAUGUGAAAGAUUAAUCAGAAUCAUUAAAAGAAAAGUACUGGAAAGAUGUAUUAAUUAGAAUCAGGUGAGAGGGUUUUAUAUAUAACAGACCAGUUAGAAUCCUGGUGAGAGCGCUAUGUGACAUAUCAAUUUCAAUUCUGGGAGGAUCUUCGGGGUAACUAACUAGGCAAAAGUACAUUCCACAACAUCCUAAGCCUCCUGAGACCAUUUUUGUAGUGAACCUUUACCAUGUUAAUUAAAUGCCUUUAUUGUAUAGAAACAAAGCUUUCAAAACUAGGCUAGAUAAAACUACCGUUCGAGAUAAGCAAUGUUGAUGGAUAUACGACCUUUUCAUCAAUACUGCAGACGAACAUUCUCAACCAUCAGAGGUGUGUUAUAGUUCCGAGACCUCAGACAUGCGAGUAUAUACAC
rnacentral:misc_RNA from 1 species